rnacentral:rRNA from 14 species
AGGUUCUAACUCUGUCCCGUGAUCCGGGACGAGGACCGUGUCUGGUGGGUAGUUUGACUGGGGCGGUCUCCUCCCAAAGCGUAACGGAGGAGCACAAAGGUGGGCUAAGCAUGGUCGGACAUCAUGCGGUUAGUGUAAUGGCACAAGCCCGCUUAACUGCGAGACAGACACGUCGAGCAGGUACGAAAGUAGGUCAUAGUGAUCCGGUGGUUCUGUAUGGAAGGGCCAUCGCUCAACGGAUAAAAGGUACUCCGGGGAUAACAGGCUGAUACCGCCCAAGAGUUCAUAUCGACGGCGGUGUUUGGCACCUCGAUGUCGGCUCAUCACAUCCUGGGGCUGAAGUCGGUCCCAAGGGUAUGGCUGUUCGCCAUUUAAAGUGGUACGCGAGCUGGGUUUAGAACGUCGUGAGACAGUUCGGUCCCUAUCUGCCGUGGGUGUAGGAUACUUGAGAGGAGUUGCCCCUAGUACGAGAGGACCGGGGUGAACGAUCCACUGGUGUACCAGUUGUUCCGCCAGGAGCAGUGCUGGGUAGCUAUGAUCGGACAGGAUAACCGCUGAAGGCAUCUAAGCGGGAAGCCCCCCUCAAAACAAGGUAUCCCUGAGGACCGAGGUAGACCACCUCGUCAAUAGGCCAGAGAUGUAAGCGUGGUAACACGUUCAGUUGACUGGUACUAAUCGCCC